rnacentral:rRNA from 1 species
GAUGAACGCUGGCGGCGUGCCUAAUACAUGCAAGUCGAGCGAACGGACGAUAAGCUUGCUCCCCUGAUGUUAGCGGCGGACGGGUGAGUAACACGUGGAUAACCUACCUAUAAGACUGGGAUAACUUCGGGAAACCGGUGCUAAUACCGGAUAAUAUUUUGAACCGCAUGGUUCAAAAGUGAUAGACGGCUUUGCUGUCACUUAUAGAUGGAUCCGCGCUGCAUUAGCUAGUUGGUAAGGUAACGGCUUACCAAGGCAACGAUGCAUAGCCGACCUGAGAGGGUGAUCAGCCACACUGGAACUGAGACACGGUCCAGACUCCUACGGGAGGCAGCAGUAGGGAAUCUUCCACAAUGGGCGAAAGCCUGACGGAGCAACGCCGCGUGAGUGAUGAAGGUCUUCGGAUCGUAAAGCUCUGUUAUUAGGGAAGAAAAUAUGUGUAAGUAACUGUGCACAUCUUGACGGUACCUAAUCAGAAAGCCACGGCUAACUACGUG